rnacentral:rRNA from 1 species
UACGUAGGGGGCAAGCGUUGUCCGGAAUCAUUGGGCGUAAAGCGCGUGUAGGCGGCCAGAUAAGUCCGUUCUGAAAGCCCGGGGCUCAACCCCGGGAGGCGGAUGGAUACUGUUUGGCUCGAGUCCGGAAGAGGCGAGUGGAAUUCCCGGUGUAGCGGUGAAAUGCGCAGAUAUCGGGAGGAACACCAAUGGCGAAGGCAGCUCGCUGGGAUGGUACUGACGCUGAGACGCGAAAGCGUGGGGAGCAAACAGG